GUCCUGUACCGUGCCACACUUGGGACUUGAGACACGGCCCAGACUCCUACGGGAGGCAGCAGUGGGGAAUAUUGCACAAUGGGCGAAAGCCUGAUGCAGCGACGCCGCGUGAGGGAUGACGGCCUUCGGGUUGUAAACCUCUUUCAGCAGGGAAGAAGCGAAAGUGACGGUACCUGCAGAAGAAGCGCCGGCUAACUACGUGCCAGCAGCCGCGGUAAUACGUAGGGCGCGAGCGUUGUCCGGAAUUAUUGGGCGUAAAGAGCUCGUAGGCGGCUUGUCGCGUCGGUUGUGAAAGCCCGGGGCUUAACCCCGGGUCUGCAGUCGAUACGGGCAGGCUAGAGUUCGGUAGGGGAGAUCGGAAUUCCUGGUGUAGCGGUGAAAUGCGCAGAUAUCAGGAGGAACACCGGUGGCGAAGGCGGAUCUCUGGGCCGAUACUGACGCUGAGGAGCGAAAGCGUGGGGAGCGAACAGGAUUAGAUACCCUGGUAGUCCACGCCGUAACGGUGGGCACUAGGUGUGGGCGACAUUCCACGUCGUCCGUGCCGCAGCUAACGCAUUAAGUGCCCCGCCUGGGGAGUACGGCCGCAAGGCUAAACUCAAGGAAUUGACGGGGGCCCGCACAAGCGGCGGAGCAUGUGGCUUAAUUCGACGCACGCGAAGAACCUUACCAAGGCUUGACAUACACCGGAACGUCCAGAGAUGGGCGCCCCCUUGUGGUCGGUGUACAGGUGGUGCAUGGCUGUCGUCAGCUCGUGUCGUGAGAUGUUGGGUUAAGUCCCGCAACGAGCGCAACCCUUGUCCCGUGUUGCCAGCAGGCCCUUGUGGUGCUGGGGACUCACGGGAGACCGCCGGGGUCACUCGGAGGAGGUGGGGACGACGUCAGUCAUCAUGCCCCUUAUGUCUUGGCUGCACACGUGCUACAAUGGCGGUACAUGAGCUGCGAUACCGCGGAGGUGGGAGCGAUCUUCAAAAGCCGUCUCAGUCCGGAUUGGGGUCUUGCACUCCGACCCCUUGAAGUCGGAGUCGCUAGGAUAUCCGAAUCACAUGCUGCGGGAUACUCGGCUCGUGUGCGUCUGACACGCACGAGAUCACACCUGGGGGGGGCACCUCUUUUGGUAACUUCUCACUG
rnacentral:rRNA from 1 species